rnacentral:rRNA from 1 species
UGGGGAAUAUUGCGCAAUGGGCGAAAGCCUGACGCAGCGACGCCGCGUGAGGGAUGAAGGUUUUCGGAUCGUAAACCUCUGUCAGAAGGGAAGAAACCGCACUGUGCUAAUCAGCAGUGCCUUGACGGUACCUUCAAAGGAAGCACCGGCUAACUCCGUGCCAGCAGCCGCGGUAAUACGGAGGGUGCAAGCGUUAAUCGGAAUUACUGGGCGUAAAGCUCACGUAGGCUGCUUUGUAAGUCAGGGGUGAAAUCCCACGGCUCAACCGUGGAACUGCCUUUGAUACUGCUUAGCUUGAAUCCGGGAGAGGGUGGCGGAAUUCCAGGUGUAGGAGUGAAAUCCGUAGAUAUCUGGAGGAACAUCAGUGGCGAAGGCGGCCACCUGGACCGGUAUUGACGCUGAGGUGCGAAAGCGUGGGGAGCAAACAGG